rnacentral:rRNA from 1 species
GACGAACGCUGGCGGCGUGCUUAACACAUGCAAGUCGAACGGAAAGGCCCUGCUUUUGUGGGGUGCUCGAGUGGCGAACGGGUGAGUAACACGUGAGUAACCUGCCCUUGACUUUGGGAUAACUUCAGGAAACUGGGGCUAAUACCGGAUAGGAGCUCCUGCUGCAUGGUGGGGGUUGGAAAGUUUCGGCGGUUGGGGAUGGACUCGCGGCUUAUCAGCUUGUUGGUGGGGUAGUGGCUUACCAAGGCUUUGACGGGUAGCCGGCCUGAGAGGGUGACCGGCCACAUUGGAACUGAGAUACGGCCCAGACUCCUACGGGAGGCAGCAGUGGGGAAUAGUGCACAAUGGGCGGAAGCCUGAUGCAGCAACGCCGCGUGCGGGAUGACGGCCUUCGGGUUGUAAACCGCUUUCGCCUGUGACGAAGCGUGAGUGACGGUAAUGGGUAAAGAAGCACCGGCUAACUACGU